rnacentral:rRNA from 1 species
GAUGAACGCUGGCGGCGUGUCUAAUACAUGCAAGUCGAGCGAACAGACGAGGAGCUUGCUCCUCUGACGUUAGCGGCGGACGGGUGAGUAACACGUGGAUAACCUACCUAUAAGACUGGGAUAACUUCGGGAAACCGGAGCUAAUACCGGAUAAUAUAUUGAACCGCAUGGUUCAAUAGUGAAAGACGGUUUUGCUGUCACUUAUAGAUGGAUCCGCGCCGCAUUAGCUAGUUGGUAAGGUAACGGCUUACCAAGGCAACGAUGCGUAGCCGACGUGAGAGGGUGAUCGGCCACACUGGAACUGAGACACGGUCCAGACUCCUACGGGAGGCAGCAGUAGGGAAUCUUCCGCAAUGGGCGAGAGCCUGACGGAGCAACGCCGCGUGAGUGAUGAAGGUCUUCGGAUCGUAAAACUCUGUUAUUAGGGAAGAACAAAUGUGUAAGUAACUAUGCACGUCUUGACGGUACCUAAUCAGAAAGCCACGGCUAACUACGUG